UUUUUUCCAUAUAUCUUUAAUAAAUAUCACUUAAUAUGUACCAUUGUUACGGCACUGAUGUUAAAACCUUUAAUCUUUAAAACGUGCAUCCACUCAUAUUAGAAACUGACUCUGCAUUCACAAACAAAUCAAAGGCAUUUUUCUGGAACAUCACAAUGAAGAUCUGCGAUCCAGAGAACAAGUAAUUUAGCAACCACCUUGAAAACUGCCACACACAGUAGUCACAAUCCCCAGUGUUUGCAGAGAUCACAUUCUGAAAGCCAGCUUUCACAAAAAAGGAGUUGCAGCAGAAAAAGAAACUCAUUCAGGGUAAGCAAAUACUUCAAGUUUUAAGGCAAGUUCAUAAAUCUUUGUCACAUUUGUGCAAGUGCCUUGGCAAUACCACAAGUGUUAGAAUAAAAAGGUUGUCUUCUCGGAAUACUUAAAAACUGAGACACAGGCUCCUCCUAGUGGUAAAAACGGAUUACUCAUCUUGUUCUAAGACUUCCAGCACUACUAUUACCAGUUAUUCUAAAUUACUCUUCCAUUUGGUUCUGAAAGCUUUAGAAGCCUCAAAGUUCUUACUGCUGCUAAGGAAUUCUUACCUAAAGAUCAAAAUAAAUAGGACAUGACAAAACAAAUGCAAAUCACUGUAAUACUUUUUUUUCCUCCAAAGUAAAGUUUCCUUUCCAUGCAUUCCAAAAGACUUAGGCUUUUAUACCAUUUUUAAAUCCAACCUGCUUUUGCUAUCCCCAGAACAUCACUGUGCAUUUAGUAGUGGAAACACUGCACGGCAUGCCUUUGUCUCAGGUGAAUACAUACAUUCCCACAGUUAGCAGGACACUGCCAAGUCACCGUCAGCAAGUACAAGACUGAUUUUGUACACUUCAAAAAUGUCUUCAAUUUUGAAGCUAAAAAUCAGUUGCUCUCACCUAAAGACCAGAAGCUCAGUGUUAGUCCACUCGUUGAGGUUGUUACUGAUUCUUCUUUGCUGCUUAACAAGUGUUGCAACUGUUCAGCCCCACGUUCUUAAUAAGAAUUCCAUCAAAAGAAACAUUUUUGUUAUCAGGUGCUUUAAAAGUCUU
rnacentral:lncRNA from 1 species